GUGUAUAAAUCUUUUGCCAAUCUUUCUCAAUUCCUAGUUUUUUAAAAAAGUUUUUUGAAAAAACAAAACAAAACACAUUGACUGCAAGAUUGUUCUUGCGUAUAGAGAUUACUAACCUACUCAAGGAUUCUUUGUUUGUAAAUCUCAGAAAAAUGAAAGCUGAAGUAUCUCUGCCAGACAUAGAACAUUUGACCUUGAAGUUUGAACAUAUUGCUUAUCUGGUUAUUUAAAAAAAAAAAAACCUGUAAUGUCACAGGAAAGACACUACAUUCUGCAAUAAAGUUGCUUGCAAACUAAGAUUCAGUCAGGACAUAAGGAAUGUUUUACACUUCCCUUAUACUAAAAUGGGGGCCAUAUUGACCUCAUAGGCUUAUUUAUUUAUUUUAACUAUUUAAUGUGGCGGUUGGCUAGCAAGUGCAGCCAAGGUGUUUAGUGUACAAUUCUAG